UGGGGAAUAUUGGACAAUGGGCGAAAGCCUGAUCCAGCCAUGCCGCGUGUGUGAAGAAGGUCUUCGGAUUGUAAAGCACUUUAAGUUGGGAGGAAGGGCAGUAAGCGAAUACCUUGCUGUUUUGACGUUACUCGCAGAAUAAGCACCGGCUAACUCUGUGCCAGCAGCCGCGGUAAUACAGAGGGUGCGAGCGUUAAUCGGAUUUACUGGGCGUAAAGCGUGCGUAGGCGGCUGAUUAAGUCGGAUGUGAAAUCCCUGAGCUUAACUUAGGAAUUGCAUUCGAUACUGGUCAGCUAGAGUAUGGGAGAGGAUGGUAGAAUUCCAGGUGUAGCGGUGAAAUGCGUAGAGAUCUGGAGGAAUACCGAUGGCGAAGGCAGCCAUCUGGCCUAAUACUGACGCUGAGGUACGAAAGCAUGGGGAGCAAACAGG
rnacentral:rRNA from 1 species